rnacentral:rRNA from 1 species
CUUGGGUCCGGCAUAACCCCGGGAAACUGGGGAUAAUUCCGGAUAACGCAUAUAUGCUGGAAUGCUUUAUGCGUCAAAUGGAUUCGUCUGCCCAAGGAUGGGUCUGCGGCCUAUCAGGUAGUAGUGGGUGUAAUGUACCUACUAGCCGACGACGGGUACGGGUUGUGAGAGCAAGAGCCCGGAGAUGGAUUCUGAGACAUGAAUCCAGGCCCUACGGGGCGCAGCAGGCGCGAAAACUUUACAAUGCGGGAAACCGUGAUAAGGGGACACCGAGUGCCAGCAUCAUAUGCUGGCUGUCUGGGUGUGUAAAAUACACCUGUUAGCAAGGGCCGGGCAAGACCGGUGCCAGCCGCCGCGGUAACACCGGCGGCCCGAGUGGUGAUCGUGAUUAUUGGGUCUAAAGGGUCCGUAGCCGGUUUGGUCAGUCCUCCGGGAAAUCUGACGGCUUAACCGUUAGGCUUUCGGAGGAUACUGCCAGGCUUGGAACCGGGAGAGGUAAGAGGUACUACAGGGGUAGGAGUGAAAUCUUGUAAUCCCUGUGGGACCACCUGUGGCGAAGGCGUCUUACCAGAACGGGUUCGACGGUGAGGGACGAAAGCUGGGGGCACGAACCGGAUUAGAUACCCGGGUAGUCCCAGCCGUAAACGAUGCUCGCUAGGUGUCAGGCAUGGCGCGACCGUGUCUGGUGCCGUAGGGAAGCCGUGAAGCGAGCCACCUGGGAAGUACGGCCGCAAGGCUGAAACUUAAAGGAAUUGGCGGGGGAGCACAACAACGGGUGGAGCCUGCGGUUUAAUUGGACUCAACGCCGGACAACUCACCGGGGGCGACAGCAAUAUGUAGGCCAAGCUGAAGACUUUGCCUGAAUCGCUGAGAGGAGGUGCAUGG